rnacentral:lncRNA from 1 species
ACUAUUCGAGACCGCAAAGAAGUUCCUGGGCUUAAUCCACAUAAUCCUCCAAAAUAACUCCAAACUACCGACGCCGUGUGGCCGUUGGAGAAUAAAUGCUCAAUAGACUCCUCGGAUGCCGAAGGACAACAGAAACACUUGGACGGUAAAUGAAAACCAAGUUCACAUAGCCUAUCUGGUAUCGGUAUCCUCCCUCGCAACAAUCUGAACAUGAAAAAUGAAACUUUGAAAGGGAUACGAGGAUGCCAAAUCGAUGCAAAAACCAUCGACUUAUUUCGGGUCUGCCUAAUAUCUUGAAAAG